rnacentral:rRNA from 1 species
CCUACGGGUGGCAGCAGUAGGGAAUAUUGCUCAAUGGGGGAAACCCUGAUCCAGCGACGCCGCGUGAAGGAUGAAGGUUUUAGGAUUGUAAACUCCUAUCAGUAGGGAAGAUUAUGAUGAUAUCUACUGACUAAGCAGCGGCUACCUCCGUGCCAGCAGCCGCGGUAAUACGGAGGGGGCACUAGUUACUCGGAAUCACUGGGCGUAAAGAGUGCGUAGGCGGGGUAAUAAGUCAGAUGUGAAAACCUGCAGCUUAACUACCGAACUGCAUUUGAAACUGUUACUUUGGAGUGUGGGAGAGGUAGGUGGAAUUCUUGGUGUAGGGGUAAAAUGCGGAGAUAUCAAGAGGAAUACUCAUGGCGAAGGCGACCUACUGGAACAUUACUGACGUUGAGGCACGAAAGCGUGGGGAGCAAACAGGAUUAGAUACCCGAGUAGUC